ACAGUGGAGGAUGACACUCGAGAAAUUGUUCGCAAAGCUGCCGAAGCCUCAGGCUCCAUGUCGGAGACAGAAUUCAGCAUCACUUUCAACCCAGACGUCUUUCAACCUCAUGUACGCCACGCCGAGCCUGAGAGCGAAAUGUUCCAGAAAGAGAAAGAUCUCGUCAAGAAAGCUUCCCAACACAUUGUUGCUAGUCAGAUUCCAUUGUUGGUGAGUUUUUUGUGUUAAAUGUUUGCUCGAUUUCUGCGUU